rnacentral:lncRNA from 1 species
AGGUGUUGGUAAUUAGCCAAAUCAACCCUCGGCGCUGGGCUGGCGCGCCCUCCGAUGCCCUGGAGGAUGCCUCGAUCUGGCACCAGCCCUUACACCAACUCUCUCUCUUGUCUACAAGCAGACUGUUCCUUUCUCCCCUCCCCUUCUGCAGAGGAUGGACUCACCCAGGUAAGUAAAGCUAAGGGAGUAACCCACUGGUACUCUUUUGGCACUGAACAGAAAAGUAUGAGCACAGGUACGUAUAUAUACACAUAAUUGUCUAUAUGGUAAUGUGUAGUGUAACCUACAUCAUUACAAGUUACAUUUUAAAAUACAGCUGUCACUUUAAAUGUUAUUAUCAAGCAAGUGAUUCUUUAAAUUACCGUAUUUUAGAGACUCACCACUGGGGGCGCCUUAGUAAACAGGACUUUUUCUUUUAAAGUCAAACGAGCGAUGUAUGCUAAUCUACACAGAUUUCUCUCGUGAAAACUGUUUUAUCUAUCUAUCUAUCUAUCUAUCUAUCUAUCUAUCUAUCUAUCUAUCUAUCUAUCUAUCUAAUGGAUUUUAACUGUUGAAUUGUUUAUCGGGGGUCGUAUUUGUAUCAUGUAUUUUCUUGUGCACUGAUUGUAUGAUGUUUUCUGACCCUUUUGGCUGAAUAUGCAGGAUUAUGUGGUGGCUGGUUGUUAUGACCCCUGUUUGUGUGUGCUGCUGCUGUCUUCUGGGUGUUUUGUUGUUUUGGCAGUGUGCAGUCCUCACCCUAAACAAGCUUGAAAAAUCUUAGACACAGAGAAAUGUUUAGGGCUCAUUACUUUUGACGACCUGGGAAAACAUUCUGCUCAGGCCAAACUUCCACAUCCAUUUUACACUCUGUUAGCUUGUGAGCUUUGUUUUGUGUUUUUUGGCUUCUUUAAGUUUAGAUGGUUUGUAGAGUUUGUUGCAGUUAGUUUGGUUUUUUAAUUUGGCAUAUGCUAAAGCCACAUUUCCUCCACUGAUUGUUAGUCACACAGUGUCCAGGGUUUCAUCUGGCAGAGAGUAUGGGAAGAAUAGUUUUUGGGGCCUGUUUUAGCGUUCUAUAACGCACCAGUCAUUUGCAGAUUGCGCAGCUUGAUUUAGGGCGUGUCUUUGGUAUCGUGAG